CCUACGGGGGGCAGCAGUGGGGAAUAUUGCACAAUGGGGGAAACCCUGAUGCAGCGACGCCGCGUGAGUGAAGAAGUAUUUCGGUAUGUAAAGCUCUAUCAGCAGGGAAGAUAAUGACAGUACCUGACUAAGAAGCCCCGGCUAACUACGUGCCAGCAGCCGCGGUAAUACGUAGGGGGCAAGCGUUAUCCGGAUUUACUGGGUGUAAAGGGAGCGUAGACGGAGUGGCAAGUCUGAAGUGAAAACCCUGGGCUUAACCUGGGGACUGCUUUGGAAACUGUUAAUCUAGAGUGUUGGAGAGGUAAGUGGAAUUCCUGGUGUAGCGGUGAAAUGCGUAGAUAUCAGGAAGAACACCGGAGGCGAAGGCGGCUUACUGGACAAUAACUGACGUUGAGGCUCGAAAGCGUGGGGAUCAAACAGGAUUAGAUACCCUGGUAGUC
rnacentral:rRNA from 1 species